rnacentral:misc_RNA from 1 species
GAUGAAGAACGCAGCGAAAUGCGAUACUUGGUGUGAAUUGCAGAAUCCCGUGAACCAUCGAGUCUUUGAACGCAAGUUGCGCCCGAAGCCAUCAGGUUGAGGGCACGUCUGCCUGGGCGUCACAUAUCGUUGCCCAAUGCCUAUUGCAGUGCAAUAGGAAUUUCUAGGGCGAAUGAUGGCUUCCCGUGAGCGUUGUUGCCUCGCGGUUGGUUGAAAAUCGAGUCCUUGGUAGGGUGUGCCAUGGUAGAUGGUGGUCGAGUUAGAACGAUACCGAUCAUGUGCAUGCUCCCCAAAAUAUGGCCUCUAUGACCCACACGCGUCUUUUGACGCCCAUGACGAGACCUCAGGUCAGGCGGGGCUACCCGCUGAAUUUAAGCAUAUCAAUAAGCGGAGGA